UAAAACACGAAAUCGCUCGCAAGAAAAAUGUCAAAACUGCUGGAAUUAAAAUCAUUUUUGCCGGUCGAGAAUUACCCGAUGAAUUAACACUCGGGAAUGCAGAGAUGAACCACAGCGUCAUUCAUGCUGUUCAGAAAUCUGGUCAGAUCUCAGUUGAUGCAACUUACAAUGCGAAUGAUGGUUUGACGAAAGUGAAACUGACACAGGAUGACGAAGAUGAAGAUGGUGAAUCUGAACAAUCAGGCAAGCAAAGUUUCUUCUUUGUUUAUUGUAAAACUUGCAAGAAACUAACACGAGGAAAAUUGCGAUGUCGAUGUUCAAAUUGCAAGGAAGGAAGCUUUGUUCUAUCACAGGGUCCAAAUGGUUGAGAUGAUGUAUUGAUCAAAGGCUGCAUGCAGGGACAAUGUGAAUCCAAUACAAACUAUCAGGGAAAAACAGCUGAAUUUUAUUUCAAAUGUGGGGAACAUCAUGGUAGAGAUGAACAGGCCCUAUUAUCAAUGUUGAAAUCUAACAUCAGAAAUAUUCCCUGCAUCACAUGCUCUAAAAUAUCGUAAGUUUACCCUUUCAUUUUAUGUCUCCUCCCAGAAAUAUUUAUCCUUCUGGGAAAGUUGAAUUUUUUAAUCCAAACCACAGUUAAUAGAAACUAAUAACUCUGAUCCAACAUGGUCAAUAUUUAAUCAAUUUUUUUCACUCAUCCAC